GUCUUCGUAGUAUAAUUUAUUAUUUUGGUCUUGUAAACCAAAGAUGGGAAAAAGUAAUUCCCCAAAGAUA
rnacentral:tRNA from 2 species